GCUUAUAUAGUUUAGUAAAAAUUUUAAUUUGUGGAUUUAAGGAUGUGAUUUUCACUAUAGGCC
rnacentral:tRNA from 1 species